UGCGUAGGUGGUUUCUUAAGUCAGAGGUGAAAGGCUACGGCUCAACCGUAGUAAGCCUUUGAAACUGGGAAACUUGAGUGCAGGAGAGGAGAGUGGAAUUCCUAGUGUAGCGGUGAAAUGCGUAGAUAUUAGGAGGAACACCAGUUGCGAAGGCGGCUCUCUGGACUGUAACUGACACUGAGGCACGAAAGCGGUGGGGAAGCAAACA
rnacentral:rRNA from 1 species